rnacentral:sRNA from 1 species
ACCAAGUUCUCAGAUCUGGUUAUUGGAAAGAAUUUGUGGGCAACAACACAACUUAUUGCGAUUUAGCUGAUCUACUUGAUGGUAGAAUAUUUUUCCAUCUUUUAAACUUAGGAUUUUCACAAAAUCUUUCCAAUUCGUCAGUGAUUUCAAAGUUCGAGUCUCUCAUUAUAUGGGUGAAGCGACUGUGUGGAGUCAGCAUUGCAUCUGAAAUAUUAAUCUCGGUGCGAAAUGGCGUAUCUGGGAACGCAAUAAAGAAUGUAAGGGAAUCCGAGAACACCCAAACCACAACCACUUCAAAAGAAAUUUCUAGGAGCGUGCUCCCUUUCGCCCAUCCUGUCUUUGACCGUCACUUGGCGCCUGUCCGACUCGCCAUCGACAAAUCCCAUACGCACAAAAUUACAAAAACAGCAUCAUGGGUUUUCCAAGAGCUUAGCCAUUGGCAUAACUGUCGUCGUCCCGUUGGCGCCAAAGUUGCUGCUCCAAAAAUGACAGAAAAGCAAGCAUUCUUUGCUAAUCGUCGCAAUCAACGCUUUAUGUCCGAGAUGGCGGAUUACGCGGCAAGCCUAACUAAUGCGACAGGUGGAAUACUAAAACCGGAGACUAUUUUCGUACAGUCUGGGAAAGACGCAAAGCAGAAGAAGGCAUCGGCGUCGAAACCCAAUAUCAUUCUUCGUUCUGAAGUUAAUGAGAAGAAAGGUCCGUUGAAGUCCAGCGGCAAAAGGAAUCUCACGAAAGAUCUUAUUGCCGCGAAAAAUGAGAGAAGGAAAACGGAAAAGACGGAAAAGCAGCUUCAAGCAUGGUCCAGAGUGAAAGCUACUUUCGAUAAAGAAUCAGAUUUGGCUAUCCGGUUCACGAACGUCAAGAAAUACUUGGCUGAACGUUCACACAACAGCUACGUCGUGAUAGAAGCUGAAGUUUCGACUUAUCUGCUGCACAUUCUGGUUCAGCUGUGGAUAACUAGAUGCAACGCUGGUGAUCGGGAUCGGUCACUCCAUAUUGCAGCGUUCAUUUGGGAUAUGGUUUGUCGUAUUUCUAAGAUCAAGGAAGGAAUAACCCCUGGCAUUGCGGAAUAUGUUACAGAAACCGUCAAAGCCCUUCGGUUGCCACAGGUGGAGCUUGGAGUUCAAUUCAGCCUG